CUGCACAUGGGAAGGGAAUUCCCAGAGGACUCCAGCCUGAACACAGAUGAAUAUUCUGCAGUCUCCAGCAACAAUUUUCUUUGGGCUUUUUGUUGUUGCAGCUCUUCUGGCUGUGAGGAUGACCUGAAAGUGUGAAGAAAGUGCAUCAGCUCUAAUGUUAUCUUGCAAGAAAUCCCAAACCAACCCCAUAUCCCAACCCCAAACCCAACAAGUUUUCUGCAGGAGCUUCUAAAGAAUCCUUUGCAAGAUAAUUUCCCCCCUGAUUCUUCUCACUAGGAAACUUGUCUAAAUCUGAAGAUGAUAGUUUAACAUCCCCAUAGUCUAACAUAUUUCUUUCCUAGCCCAAGCUACUUUCUCCAUGUCACCAAGCCUGAGCUUUCAGCAUCACAAACCUCCUGUUUCUGGCCUGGCAGUUUCUGGGAUGGGGCAUCAGGAAUGCAUUUACUUGAGUGUCAGUGGCACUGCAGAGAUGCACUUGAUGUAAGAAUCCUUGAAGUAACACAGUCAGACCACACUGACUCUGGAAAAUGGCCUGUAAAGCUGGUGUCCAUAUUUGGAGAAGCAAAAUGUGCUAUUUCAGAUGGAGGUUCCUACUAACAGAGUCAGCCAAUGAAACUGGCUCUCAAGGCGAGAUCAUUUGGAUGUUGCAGUGGCUGUGGCAGCCCCAGGGUUUGGGUUUUUAGUUUGCAUAGAAAAAUGAGCUGUGAGCAGCAUCUCUGGCAGGGAGAAAGAUGCCCCUGGAGCUGGGGCUGAGGACCCAGGGUGGAUGUGAGCCCGUGUGGGUGUGAAGGAAGCUGGCAGAGCGCUGAGUUUGCUUUCCCUGCAGGCUCGUGCUCUGAUCCGGCAGAACGGGACCCCGCAGCUGCAGGAGCCCCGGCGCCUGUCGGCUCUGCUGCGGGACUUCCUCGAGUGCAGCCUGGAGCCGGACGAGGAGCGGCGCUGGGCUGCCCGGGAGCUGCUGCAGCACCCAUUUUUGUCAUCAGCCAAGCCUCUCUCCAGCCUGACCCCUCUGAUCACUGCAGCAAAGCAACUGAGGGAGGAGCGGAGGAGAUGAAGCUCUUGAGGACAGCCUUUAAUUACAGUAGUUAGGAGAACUAGUUGGUUAUGGUAGUUAGCACUGGUAGUUUGUUAUGGUAGUUAGCAUUGCUAGUUAGUUAUGGUAGUUAGCACAGUCUGUUUGUUAGGGUAGUUAGAAUUGGUAGUUAGUUAUGGUAGUUAGCACAGCCUGUUUGUUAUGGUUCUUAUGACAGCGAAACAGGCUGUUUUCGCAGGUUUUUGAAUAAAAAUUCUCUUAAACCUCAA